UCUUACCAGCGAUGAUGUCGCAGAGAAACCGGCUACGGAGCGAGCAGGCGCUACGGCGGGGCGACGCUUCUUGGUCUGCCAGCGGGGCCACAACACGCGGCAAUGGCACCCGUGGCCAGGCUCCCAAUCGCACGGCGCGACACACACAACGAACGGCGAAGCGGGUAUGCGUACAGCGGCACCAAAUCCGAUCCCAGGGAUCACCCGCCACUACGCGCCGGUCAAGGAUAGCAGCAGCGACCGACGGCGACAUCUAAGCCUAGCAGCGGCGGAAUCUCUCUCGAGUCCACCCAUGGUGCGGUCAGUACACAGGAGGGCUUGGCUGGUCGAGAC
rnacentral:lncRNA from 7 species